rnacentral:misc_RNA from 1 species
GAUGAAGAACGUAGCGAAAUGCGAUAAGUAGUGUGAAUUGCAGAAUUCAGUGAAUCAUCGAAUCUUUGAACGCACAUUGCGCCCUUUGGUAUUCCAAAGGGCAUGGCUGUUCGAGCGUCAUUUGUACCCUCAAGCUUUGCUUGGUGUUGGGCGUCUUGUCUCUAGCUUUGCUGGAGACUCGCCUUAAAGUAAUUGGCAGCCGGCCUACUGGUUUCGGAGCGCAGCACAAGUCGCACUCUCUAUCAGCAAAGGUCUAGCAUCCAUUAAGCCUUUUUUUCAACUUUUGACCUCGGAUCAGGUAGGGAUACCCGCUGAACUUAAGCAUAUCAAUAAGCGGAGGA